rnacentral:rRNA from 1 species
AUAACAGGGCCCGUCGGCACUAGCGGGUUCGAUCGUUACCUCGAGAGUGAGCAGAGGCGGUUCCGGAGCGGGGCGCGGCGGCGCCGGCGGCGGAGGAGGAGGGGCGAGGAGGGGAGGCGGUGCGCCUCGGCGGGGGCGCCGGCCGCCAAGGCGACGCAGCGGCGCCGCAGGUUCCCCCUCCUCCACAAGCCGCCGGCCUUCCUCGAGUGCCCGCACGUCGGCGACCACCUCCGUAACGGCGGGCGCCCCGCCCGCCACAACCUCGAGCGCCAGCAACGGCGCCGCCGCCGUCCCCCCAUGUGGGAGCCCUGUGCGAUGCCGCCGUGCGCCUGGUGCCGGCAGCGCCCGCGCCGGCACGAGCCCCGCCGGUGGGAACGCCCCCGACGGCGACACUUGAGGCAGCACGGCCUCCAGCGGCGGCACCCCGAGGUGUUGAUGCAGCGUCCGAGACUGCUGGGGUGGCGCGACCUCCGAUCACUCCACCGCCGGUAGUGCUCGUUUAUACCUCAGUCAUGUGUUCUACGUCGUAAGUUUAGUCUCGAGACACUGGACAUACGGUCGAAACAAAUGAGUCAUGAAGGAGGUCCUGUACUUCGAGAGUUUCCAUGACUCCAACUUCGAUAAUUUUUCAAAUUUUUUCGAGAACCUGAACUACUACACCUACGACGUUUAUACGUGUACCGCUAACCAUCUGCGAAUAUGUCUCUCUCUGAGCUACGUAAGGUUUUCAAUUAAAAACACAGUUUAGAACAGAAGCCUCUACGUAGUCUGAAGUAUGAAGGUACCUUUGUAGAAAAGCCCUAGUGUCUGAUAGUCUAGCUAUAACGAUACGCCCUCUUACGGUUUUAAGAUAUGCGCAAUCUCGAGUUCAGAUAACCUUCUCCAGAACUGUAUCCGUGCGAGUAACUUCACUCCUCUCAUGUUGAACGUAUAUUUGAAAAACUACUCCAACGACGACUGUACAAGUUCCUCGUACGGUUCUUCAACCAAGUUCUUUUGUAAAGUAGACGAAAUAGGUAUAACUUCAGGUUAUGGUCACGUCCCUUGUAAGGGUGUCUCCAGUAAUCACUCCACUUAUCAUAGGAACGUAAGUUAUUCAACGAUUGUCAAGAUUCGUUCAAAGGAGUUCCGCUGGCUAAACGUGCACCCGAUCCUGGAUAGAGCAAUCGACCUCUAAAACUAGUACUAUUUUACCAACCACUAGAUUUCUAUGAGAUACGCCGGAUAUGUUGUCUUCAUGAAAGUCUACCUGCAGAACUACUACUCUUCGAACCAGGGAACUUACUCGACUCCUUAUAUAAACCCGAACCCUUCGCACUCCGUCUUCGUUAGUAUCUUCCUCAUUACAGUCUACAAUUUAGAGUUCAUGGUCGUACUACUACGAGCACGCACACGUAGCGAUGUGUCAUUUUCCAACACGAUGAUAAACAAGUCCUUAUGACAAAAGAAACAACGUACCUUUAUUGGUCUCUCUUUUGUUACAGUAAGCCUUAACAACGGAAAGUCCAUCGUAAAACAUAAAGACGGUCAAUGGUCCAUUUUCUUAAAGCACUUGUCUUUUCUUUGUACGGGAAGACGUAUUUGACGUAUAUGGUUAUUGGUACAUUUGGUAUGUGUAGUAUGUUCAUAUAUUGAUUUGGUUUCUUGUUAACAUUGCUGAACAUUCAAAGGGUGUUGUUUAGUACAACAUUGAACACGAAAGGUGGGCAACAUUAUUUUUGUACGUGACUUCACUUUCCCCCUGUUGAUACUCUAAAGGAUUGUCACUGGUGA